AUUGAACGCUGGCGGCAGGCCUAACACAUGCAAGUCGAACGAGUGGCGGACGGGUGAGUAAUGUCUGGGAAACUGCCCGAUGGAGGGGGAUAACUACUGGAAACGGUAGAUAAUACCGCAUACCAUCGGAUGUGCCCAGAUGGGAGUAGCUUGUAGGUGAGGUAACGGCUCACCUAGGCGACGAUCCCUAGCUGGUCUGAGAGGAUGACCAGCCACACUGGGACUGAUACACGGUGCAGACCACUAGGGGAGGCGGCAGGGGGGAAUAUUGCACAAUGGGCGAAAGACUGAUGCAGCCAUGACGCGUGUAUGAAGAAGGCCUUCGGGUUGUAAAGUACUUUCAGCGGGGAGUCGUUAUCCGCAGAAUAAGCACCGGCUAACUCCGUGCCAGCAGCCGCGGUCAUAC
rnacentral:rRNA from 1 species